rnacentral:rRNA from 1 species
GCUACGGACAAAGGGUUGCAAGCUCGCGAGAGUUAGCUAAUCCCAUAAACCGUGGCUCAGUUCAGAUCGUAGGCUGCAACUCGCCUACGUGAAGGAGGAAUCGCUAGUAAUCGCAGGUCAGCAUACUGCGGUGAAUACGUUCCCGGGCCUUGUACACACCGCCCGUCACACCAUGGAAGUUGGCCAUGCCCGAAGUCGUUACUCCAACCCUUGUGGAGGAGGACGCCGAAGGUGGGGCUGAUGACUGGGGUGAAGUCGUAACAAGGUAGCCGUACCGGAAGGUGCGGCUGGAUCACCUCCUAA